GCCCAGAGGCUCUUCACUGACGCAGCCUUCAUCCACCUUACCAUCAUCAUCCUCAUCAUCCCCGCUGAGGUCUUGUACCUCGACCUCACCAGCGGGAUGGCAUUUCCCUUAGGAUUUGAGGACUACGCAAGCUUCUUCAGCAAAUAGCAGCACAUUGAAGGACCUCAGGAUAAAAAGGAUUGCAACAGUAACCGUUACUACCAAAGUAUGCAGAAGAGCAUCGCUAAAGCGUGAAGCAGAUGGGCUACAGCAGCAGAUGACCACACCGGAUACCACUCCUCUCAACGAGGCCACAAUUCACACAGGCUCUCCUAAAGCAUAAUAAUCAUAAUAAUUUGGACCAAAAUCUCUGAGGAAUGUUUUCAGCACCUUGUUGAAUCUGAUGUCGUGUUCCACGUACUUUGGAACUUGGAUGUUAGAAGUCGGGAAUGAUGCCACACCCAAGUUAGUGCUUUCCUGAGAAGGCCAAUAAAAACUGCAUUUGUUUAGAUUCUUAGUAAUAAAUCAUAAUGUUAAAUUGUUUGCGCUUAAAAACAUUGAUGGAUAGAGCCUGAUCCCUGCUCUACGUCUGGAAUGUUUAAUGAGUCAAAACCCACAACAGUUGCAGUAAAGAUUAAAAGUUUAUAAUUUUACUAUU